rnacentral:rRNA from 1 species
GACGAACGCUGGCGGCGUGCCUAAUACAUGCAAGUAGAACGCUGAAGGAGGAGCUUGCUUCUCUGGAUGAGUUGCGAACGGGUGAGUAACGCGUAGGUAACCUGCCUGGUAGCGGGGGAUAACUAUUGGAAACGAUAGCUAAUACCGCAUAAGAGUAGAUGUCGCAUGACAUUUGCUUAAAAGGUGCAAUUGCAUCACUACCAGAUGGACCUGCGUUGUAUUAGCUAGUUGGUGAGGUAACGGCUCACCAAGGCAACGAUACAUAGCCGACCUGAGAGGGGGAUGGACCACCCUGGAACUGGACCACGCCCAGACUCCUACGGGAGGCAGCAGUAGGGAAUCUUCGGCAAUGGACGGAAGUCUGACCGAGCAACGCCGCGUGAGUGAAGAAGGUUUUCGGAUCGUAAAGCUCUGUUGUAAGAGAAGAACGAGUGUGAGAGUGGAAAGUUCACACUGUGACGGUAUCUUACCAGAAAGGGACGGCUAACUACGUG